rnacentral:misc_RNA from 1 species
CUGCAGCGGAUUAUGGGCGGGCCUGCAGUCUCGUUCACCCACUGAAGGUCAAAGAGCCUCUGAGCUGUGGGCAGACACCGCGCGCGUGGAAUCGGCGCUGCCAUACUCCCCCCUUUCCGCUUUUGUAACUCAGCUCUUGCUGCUGCGCUUCUUCCAAGGUGUGCACUGCCCACCGUCUUUAGUGCUCGGCGUCGCUUAGCCCCCCAUCCUCUCCCCCAAGUUGCCCCCUCUUUUCCUAGUCGCACAGCGCCGUCUUAUCAUGUCCUCCAAACGCACCGAGGGCACGGCUGCUGACGAGGAGCGCCGGCAGACGUCGGCCGCGUCUAGCGGCUCGUCGAGCGUCAGCAGUACCGACUCUGAAGAAGCCAGCAGCAGUGUCUCCGACAGCAGCAGCAGCGCCAGCGGCAGCUCCUCCGGCUCCGAAUCGUCUGAUAGCGAACGUCCGUUGUCCCCCCCGCAGCGCCAAAGUGCUGCUGCAACAGAGAGAGCCACGUCUACGCAGCAGCUACAACAGCAGCGGCAUGUGCAGCUGAAUCCCGAGCUGCGCUUCGAGCGGCCAGACAAGGAGUACAUCCCGCUACCACCCCUCAGAGACAUGCAGGACAUGGCCAAGGUUCUGUUUCUCUUGAGCACCGAUAAGAAACGCUAUCCGGAUGGGCGUCACCGCACGCUGGACUACUUCCGUGUCGCGGUGGAGAUGUUUGUGACGGAGGUGCGGCAGGAGUACAAACGGCAGUACCAGCAGGCGCAGCGCAGCGGCCGUGUGAUGCAGCGGUUCACGUGGAAGAACUCGGGCGAGCUGGCGAUUUGCUUUGCCUGCUGCUGCGACAAUGUGAAGCUUCUGUACGACAGCCUCCAACCUGGCCCCCUCAAACCACUCUGGGACGCCUUUGUCGGCCAGCUCGCGCCGAUGCUCAUCGUUCAGAGCCGCGUGCCGGAGACGAUGCUGUCAUCACAAACGUACCACACCAAGUACAUGGACUGGGUGAAGGGCGGCACACGUUACGGUGGCGAGCAGUCGACCGCGAAUGUCCGCUUCCCCUCUGUGGCAGACCGUCGCGUAAAGGUUGAAACAUACCUUCGGAGCGGCGCGGGGUACAAGAUCGAGGCUGUGCAGGUGGGGUCGACGUCCGCCGCGCCGGCGACCGUCCCCGCCGCGGUGGCGCCUCGCCCUUCUUUGGCCGCUGCCGCGGCUCCGAUGCAGGCUUUAGAGACUCGGGCGCCUUUCGCGGGGCGGCUGCCCGGCACAGGUUCGGUGAAGGUGCCCGUCGCUCCAGGUGUCGGUGGACCUCGCCCGCCAGUGAAGGUUCCCAUGAAGCACGCCGGCGGCGGUGUUGCGCACGGCAGUGUGACGGCCGCCGCCGCUCCUCCGCUUGCCUCCACCAGUGUGAAGCAGAUGCCGCCGGAGAUGAAGCAUCUGUUUUGGUUGUCGGUGCUGGCGCACGUGAAGGGCGGAGAAGCGUCUCGGGCGUUUCCGGAUGACCGACUGGAGGCGCUGCCUGGCCUGCUACGGCUGUGCGAGAUGACAGAGCACACGGAGGAGAUGUGCAUCUUGAUGGAUGUGCUGGCGGCCUCGAGCAGCGGCGUUCAGACAGUCUUCGAGCGUCUUGGCGGCCUUCUGUCAUUCCGCCGGUUCGCCUCCCACUUCAUCCAGAGUGAGGAGGCAGAGCCGCUCAUGCAACUCGUCGAGCAGCUCGCGCGGUGGCGCGUAGCGGCAUGGGGCAGUACCUCACAGCAGGCGUGGCAGACCGAUAUGAACCAACGGCGCACACGCGAUCUGAUGUGGCUCCGUACCCUGCCCCUCAUCCCGGAGGCGAAGCGGGCGGCGUGGGGGGCGGUGCUUCUGGUGAUGGAGCAACGCUAUAUUUUCAAGGCCCCGCGCCCUGAUGACACGACCACCGCUGACAAUCCACUGAAGCGGCGGCGACCCGAGGUCGAGCUCGGCGAUCUGCACGCUGUGCUGAGUGACAACGUCGACAUGCAAAGGUGGGUGGUACCCCGGGUCAAUGUGUUCUCCGCUGUUCGCCUACCAGUGGAGCUGCGCGUGCCGCCACUGUGCACAAAGUUGGAGGAGGAUACUGUCCGCUUCCUCAACUCCAAGCGCGAGUACGCCGAGAAGGCGCAGGUGACGUGGCGUGAGAGGCUAGAGAAGAUUCUGAGCGCGCAGCCUCGUGCUCCGGGUGCUGCCGUGCCGGUGCCUCUCUGGUAUGACCCUUACGCGCUACUGAGCGUGGCCUCUCCGCAACUAUGAAAGGAAAAGAGCAACGGCACACAGCAGGGAGUUGCACAUCAGGUCUGCCAAAGACGUUUUUGUCUGUGUUUGUAUUCUGCGCUGAUGCUGCACAAGUAUUGCAUAGAGAGGCAUCAGCGAUCCCAUACAUGCACCCCUGCGUGUGUGUUCAGCAG